rnacentral:rRNA from 1 species
AGCAGCCGCGGUAAUUCCAGCUCCAAUAGCGUAUAUUAAAGUUGUUGCAGUUAAAAAGCUCGUAGUUGAAUUUCGGGAUCAAUAUGUUGGUCGUGCCUUUGGUACGUACUAGCUUAUUGAUUUCUCCCUUCUGACGAACCAUGAUGUCAUUAAUUUGGUGUCAUGGGGAAUCAGGACUGUUACUUUGAAAAAAUUAGAGUGUUUAAAGCAGGCUUACGCUUGAAUACAUUAGCAUGGAAUAAUGAAAUAGGACGUUUUGAUUCUAUUUUGUUGGUUUCUAGGAUCGACGUAAUGAUUAAUAGGGAUAGUUGGGGGCAUUAGUAUUCAAUUGUCAGAGGUGAAAUUCUUGGAUUUAUUGAAGACUAACUACCGCGAAAGCAUUUGUCCAAGGAUGUUUUCUAUUAAUCAAGAACGAAAGUUAGGGGAUCGAAGACGAUCAGAUACCGUCGUAGUCUUAACCAUAAACUAUAGCCGACUAGGGAUCGGAUGAUGUAAUUUUUAAUGACUCAUUCGGCGUCUU